rnacentral:misc_RNA from 1 species
UGGAGUUGAGCCUAGGUGG